rnacentral:rRNA from 1 species
GACGAACGCUGGCGGCGUGCUUAACACAUGCAAGUCGAACGGAAAGGCCCUGCUUGCAGGGUACUCGAGUGGCGAACGGGUGAGUAACACGUGGGUGAUCUGCCCUGCACUUCGGGAUAAGCCUGGGAAACUGGGUCUAAUACCGGAUAGGGGCCAUUUUUAGUGUGAUGGUUGGAAAGUUUUUUCGGUGUAGGAUGAGCUCGCGGCCUAUCAGCUUGUUGGUGGGGUAAUGGCCUACCAAGGCGGCGACGGGUAGCCGGCCUGAGAGGGUGGACGGCCACAUUGGGACUGAGAUACGGCCCAGACUCCUACGGGAGGCAGCAGUGGGGAAUAUUGCACAAUGGGCGCAAGCCUGAUGCAGCGACGCCGCGUGGGGGAUGACGGCCUUCGGGUUGUAAACUCCUUUCGCUAGGGACGAAGCUUUUUGUGACGGUACCUAGAGAAGAAGCACCGGCUAACUACGUG